GCGGCCCCUUCUUGAAUCUGAUUGGUUUAGGAGAAAUUUCAUAUGAAAAUAUUAUAUGUCACAAAACAUUGAAAUGUUCCAUUUGAUUAUACAAAUACGUUUAUGACAUGAAGUUCUUAUUGUGUAUGAAAAAGUUUAUGUUUAGAGUCAGUGAUGAUUGCGCUAGAAGUUACGAAACAAUAUGAUGGACAUAUUUAUUUUAUAACCAUGUACAUGUAUAUUGCGUCAUAAGAUACUCACCAUGGUGAAAUACCUCUUGUUUACAUUUACCAUGUCUUUCAUUAAUAUCAUUGUAUUUUAUCAUUGAAAUGUUAUAAAGGAGGAAUGUUUU
rnacentral:misc_RNA from 1 species